ACUCCUACGGGAGGCAGCAGUGGGGAAUAUUGCACAAUGGAGGCAACUCUGAUGCAGCAAUGCCGCGUGUGUGAAGAAGGCCUUAGGGUUGUAAAGCACUUUCAGACGUGAGGAAAAGUUAUUUAUUAAUACUAAAUAGCCCUGACGUUAACGUCAGAAGAAGCACCGGCUAACUCCGUGCCAGCAGCCGCGGUAAUACGGAGGGUGCGAGCGUUAAUCGGAAUUACUGGGCGUAAAGCGCGCGUAGGCGGAUAGAUAAGUCAGAUGUGAAAUCCCUGGGCUCAACCUAGGAACUGCAUUUGAAACUGUCUAUCUAGAGUAUGGUAGAGGUGAGUGGAAUUUCAGGUGUAGCGGUGAAAUGCGUAGAGAUCUGAAGGAACAUCAGUGGCGAAGGCGACUCACUGGGCCAUUACUGACGCUGAGGUGCGAAAGCGUGGGUAGCAAACGGGAUUAGAAACCCGAGUAGUCC
rnacentral:rRNA from 1 species